rnacentral:rRNA from 1 species
CGUAGGUGGCGAGCGUUAUCCGGAUUUAUUGGGUUUAAAGGGUGCGUAGGCGGCUUAAUAAGUCGGUGGUCAAAGGUAGCAGCUUAACUGUUUUACAUGCCACCGAUACUGUUGAGCUUGAGAUAUGUGGAGGCAGAUGGAAUUUCCGGUGUAGCGGUGAAAUGCAUAGAUACCGGAAGGAACUCCUAUUGCGAAGGCAAUCUGCUACAGAUAAACUGACGCUGAUGCACGAAAGCGUGGGGAUCAAACAGGAUUAGAUACCCUGGUAGUCCACGCCGUAAACGAUGAUUACUAGUUGUUGGCCCGCUGGGGUCGGUGACCAAGGGAAACCGAUAAGUAAUCCACCUGGGGAGUACGCCGGCAAACGGUG